AUGAAUAACAAAGUUAAAAGUUAGCUAGCCAAAAAAAAAAAGAACUGAAAGAUGUUAAAUGCAAUAGUGUUGUAUCUCCACAAUAUCAUUUUUGAAAGAAAAAAAAUGUGCAAAAUGCUUAAAUUCAGGUUGAACACACACUUCUAAAAAAGUAAACAACUGAAUCAAAAUGGCGAAGGUAGGUCAGUCGACCACAUUGCACCAGCUGAUUGACCAAGAUUAACUAAUUGAAAUUACCUAAUCUCGUCAACUUUACGGCUUUUACUGUGGUACUAAAGCAUUCAAACACCAUAAUAUAAUCUCUAGCUAUGAUGAACUGGAAUCAUUAAAGAAGAAACUGAAUUUACUCUAGAUAAUGGGCUGAGAGAAGAAUUUUUCUGGUUAAUACUAGGAAUGCACUAGGGUAGCUACAGCAAGAGAGGGAGGAGAGCAAAAGUGUCGAUUAUAAAAAUAUCCUGCACUCUAGGUCAUCUUCAAAAUAGCAUUAAGUCGACAUAUAGCAAUCUACAGUCCUCUAGCUAGUGCCCUCGGAAUAUGAUUUUUAGCACAGGUUCAAGUCUUCACACUGCCAUGUUCUGGAAAAUGUCAAGGCAAAUCAUUUAAGGAUGCCUUUAGCACUCAAAGAAGGUAUAAAAGUCAAAACGUGACAUGCUAUAUGGCACCGAAACAAGGGGUAAGCCUCAAAACAUAACUUAAAUUACAGAUAAGUCAAAUAAGUUAUCAAUUCAAUCCAGGAUUUAGGUAAGUUUCACUUAAGGUACUAAUUCGCAAAUCUCCGGAAUUCAUAGCAUGACUCUGUUUUCAUUAGUAAGUCCAUCUAGUAUAAUAAGAUCCACUCAGUUUUAUAUUUUCUUCAAUUAUAAAGAUCAUGCUACAAAUUAAUGAAACCCAAACAAGUAAACUAUGUGAUAUGUAAUUUAGUUGUGUGAUGGGUGAAGCUCACAAGAGUAGAGAUGGGUGUGGUGGAGAUGAUUAAAAAAAUAAUAAUAAUAAAAUUGGGGAAAGCUAAUGAUCAUCUAAGGACUUUAGGAUUCAGUGCUACUUUGAAUGGUCAUUGACCUGAGGUGGAGGCUUGGAAUUCUUGCUAUUCAAGUGCCUCUUUCUCAAGUAUCUUUAACGGCCCAGAAACCCCAUCCAACAAAAAUGAGAAAAACAAACUCUUGUCUUCCUCCCAAAUCUAUGGAGGACUACACAGGAAACACAUUAUCGUCCUUGCUCAUCCUUCUGACUAAAACAUUGAGUAGAAUGGUUAAACAAGCAGAUAAGGAAGCUUCUACUCAGGCUAUAAAGUCUUUCAUUAUAGCAGUCCCAUAAUUUCUCUAUGACCUCCAUUGAGCAGUAUCAACAUGCGAGUAUCACUUUUAUCAUCUUCUAGCUUGUGUUGGGGCUUCAUGUUAAUCUUUAAAAGUUCUGGUUAUACAUGUAAAAGAAGAGAUUGACCUUUUCUCUUUUGCAUGCGAUCAGGACUGGUAUGGUUCUUGUUUCACUCAUCUAGAUCUUCUCCAUGAUGGGAAGAAAGCUAAGAUUUACCCAGAAAUUUGUGGAUGGAAAGAAAUGGUAUCUCAGUUCUCAGAAAUGCAAAUAUGUGCCUAAGGUUGUUGAGCACUAUAUAUAUUCGUCCACUUUCCUUCUAUCUCUACUUUCAAUCUAAAAGAGGCAGCUGGGAGACAGGAGAUACAAAUAGAAGUUUUCUCCCCUCAAAAGAUGGGGGCCUCACCAUUCACCCUUAUGAUCAUCAGUAAGGGGCAUUGGAGAUUUGUUCAAGGUCUCUAAUAGCAUUAGGCAUUAAGUCAUUAAGUCGUGGCUUGAAUAGUAAAGGGUCCUCUUCUCAUAUGGGUCAAAUAUGUGUCAAAGUUUUUUAAGGCGACUAUGUAACGUGAGGCGUUUUAUCCCUCGUCAGACAAGACAUAGGCCUUGAGGCAUCAAGGGAUAAACAUUUUAAAUUUUGAAUUUUAUAUUUAGAAAAUAAAUUAAAUAUUU